GAUGGAUCUUUCCAUUAGGCAGUUGGCAGUCUGGCAUGAAAGCUUAUGAAAAAGAUACCGUUUGGGGAAGCAUCAGUUUAGAGUUCUAGUCUUUGGUAUAGUUUUAUUUAUUCUUCUGUUUGCUGUCACAUCAUUCACAUGGGCAACAAACAUCCCAUCGGCAACAUCUUAUUACAGAGUUUUAGGGUGGAACACAGUGCACGGAAGCUUGCUACUCUGUUCUGAUUCACUUUUGUGAUUCACUGAUACAGAUGACAAUUAAAAUCUAGAACCUAAGCAGGCAGACAGACUAGAAAGUGGCAAGAUUCCCAAGAAUUGGGAAUGCCACAGAUAUGGUACCCUGUAGCAUUUUUCACAGUAAAAACAAGAAGGGCGACAUGGCACUUGCAAAAUAAAGGUUUGGAGGAGUGGUUGCAGUGGUAGGGUUGAGGUACCAAAAUCUGCUUGAAGGUAAACCCUGGAUGAUGAAGAGUUGGUGAAAUUGGGGUUACAUUUUCCCCAGUGCAUGAAUGCACCAGAUGUUUCUAUUUAAGUAGUAAGUAUUCUAAGUUCUUUAUUAACAUUCUAAGCGUUCAGUACCACACUAACAAUGUUCUGAUUUUAGGGCACCUAAUUCUGGCUGUUUGAGCUUUUAAAAUUAACACUGAGCCAGGGUCAUUUUAUUCUCAGACAAAAUUGCUUGACCCAUUUUACACUGGAACUCACCUUGAGUAGGAAGGUUUCAUCAUUUUCCUUUAUAUUGCCAAGCACUGCAUGAGGCUAAUGUUUAUAAGCAGUGUAUGUUUUAUUUCUUUAAUAGGUAAUCAUAAUGUUAAGGUUUUGAUUUUUUUUCUUCACAAAUUGUGUAUCACAGUUUGAUGUAAUUAAAGCUCAGGUAAUUCAGAAAAUUUAAGUCCUGUCAACUUUUUCCAGAUGUUGUUUUAUAUAUUUACAUUCCUGGGAAACAGAACCCCUUUAGCACCUCUCCCUGUUACCCUCUGGCACUUCUCUAUGUGACACGCCACUCUGCCGGUUGGCAUUUGUACAUGUAUACCUUCUUUGCUACCUGGUUGUAAAAGCCCUGUCUGAGCAGGAAUAUCUAACAUUUUUUAACCUCCCACUGAACUGAUCUGGGGCCAUUCUGAAUAUUUUUUAAAGUAAAUUAGUUGUGAGGGCUUAGUUAAUAGACAAAUUAGUAAGAUAGGGCAUCCAAAAAGAGAAAUUUUGCUGCAAUUAAAUUUUAAUCUUGCCUCUUUGAAUUGUGAAGUAUAUAUAUUUUUAAAUGUCCAUUUAUCAAUUUUGACAGAGAAAGGCUGAGCAGGGGCUUGGCAGAGAAAGAGGGAGAGAGAACCCCAAGCAGGCCCCAUGCUGCCAGUGCAGAGCCCAAUGCCAGACUCAAUCCUAUGACCCAUGAGAUCGUGACCUGAGCUGAAAUCAAGAGUCAGACGCUUAACCUCCUAAGGCACCCAGGCGCCCCUGAAUUCUGAAGCACAUUAUUGAUGUUCUCUGUGUCCAGCAUAUUUAAAUGCCUUUGUGUUAAGUUAAACAUGUCUUUGUUAAAAAAUAUUUUAAGAUUAUGAAGAGGUAUUAAAAUUUUUGUUCCAUGUUUACCUUGAAAAACCCAUACUAAAUUCUAGCUCUCACCUAGUUUUGCAGAUGUAAUUUUGUCAAGUCUGAUUUUUAAUGCUUAUAGUUUAAAAAAUCUUAUUUAAGAAUCAAAAAUAAGUUUCUCCUGUGAGCAUUCUUAUAGGUGCUUCUUACCUUGGCAGGAAGGGAAUGGUUUAGUCCAGUUUGCUUCUUAGCCUUCUUUUAGCUUUCACUGCUUAAAGUUGGGUUCAUUUCACACCAGGCCCAGGCAGAUCUUUUCUCACAAAUAUGUCUCAAUUCUGUUAACAUCUCCCCUUCCUCUUCCGGUUCUAUGUGGUUGUGCUUCUGAAAUUAGAGAAUUUGACCGUUGGGUGGGGGGCAGGGAUGUGUUGGAGGUAAUCGUGCUUGCACUAAAAGGAUAUAUACCUGGAGGCUUUAAAGCCACUUGAUAGGUCUUUCCAGAACAAACCCAUUUCCCACUACAGCCGGCCUGAUCAAUUGUAUGUACAUGCAUGUGUACAUGUAUGCAUGUCCACUCAUCUAUCUUGAUGAGUUCUGGAGUGUAAAAAUUUUAGAAACACUGAAGGAAAAAAAAAUCAUUACUUUCACCUUUACUCUCUUACCCAUAAGGAGCUAAUAAUACUAGUUGCGAGAUAUAUAAAAAUUUGAAAGAAAAGUAUCUUAUGGACACUAGUAUUUUCAAGAACUCAAGGGCACCCUAAAAAGUGCUCCAAAAUUAUUUGAUACAUUUUUUAUUCUAUCCUGUUCUCCCUAAACAUCAGCAGUCAAAAUGAAUCACAAAAUAUUUUGUCAUAUAAUUUACUACUUUUUUUCUUUAACUUUAAAAAAAAGCACUACUUUCAAAACGAUAGUUAUUUUGUACUUUGUGAGGAAAUUCUCCAGGUAUUUAUAUUGUUUUCUGUGUCCUAGGAAGGAAAAUCCCCUCGACAGUGUCUGAAGGAAGGAAACUGCAAAGCUUUGAAAUACUCAUUUUUUGAAUGUAAAAGAUCAAUGGUAAGAGGCUAUAUAGCUUUUGCAAAGCUUAUGCUAAAAAUUUUAGGUAUGCUAAAAAUUAAGUAUGUGAAUGACCUAGCAAUUACAUAUAUGUUGCAAGUGAGAUCAUUCAGAAAAAAGAAUGUGGAUAAUAUUAUUUAUUACUUCUACUUUGACACUAGAAAGCGCCAUCUAGGGAACUCCUGAGUGGACUAAUAGAUUCGUACAGCCUUUGUCCAAGAGUGAUUCACUAUUAGUGCUCUAAGAUGCCAAUUUGCCUUAUAUACUGACUUUAAAACCCUCUACGUACCCCACCACCCUUGGAAGAGGCUGCACUGUGAGCUUUAAGUCAAAGAACAUGUAGUCAUCCUAUGAGUAGAUACUUUAAACAUUUUUAAUCCCUAAAUGUUAGGUGUGAUUUACUGUUUAAAGAUUUCAAAUACAUUUCAAUGUUCAUUUUGAGUUUAUUUUUAAAUUUUUUUUAACGUUUAUUCAUUUUUGAUGGAGACAAAGUGCAAGUAGGGGAGGGGCAGAGAGAGAGGGAGACACAGAAUUUGAAGCAGGCUCUGGGCUGAGCUGUCAGCCCAGAGCCAGCCCAGAGCCUGAUGCAGGGCUCGAACCCACCAACCACAAGAUCGUGACCUGAGCCAAAGUCCGACACUUAACAGACUGAGCCACCUAGGCGCCCCUUGGGUUUAUUUUUGCGUACGGUAUAAGAAAGUGGUCUAGGUUCAUGCUUCUGCAUGUUGCUGUCCAGUUUUUCGAACACCAUUUGCUGAAGAGACCAUCUUUUUUCCAUUGGUGAUUCUUUCCUGCUUUGUGGAAGAUCAGUUGGCCAUACGUUUGUGGGUCCAUUUCUGAGUUCUCCAUUCUGUUCCAUUGAUCUUUGUGUCUGUUUUUGUGCUAGUACCAUACUGUCUUGAUGAUUACAGCUUUGUAAUACAGCUUGAAGUCAGAAUUGUGAUGUGCCUUGGUUUUCUUUCUCAACAUUACUUUGGCUAUUCAGGGUCUCUUCUGAUUCCAUACAAAUUUUAGAAUUGUUUGUUCUAGCUCUGUGAAGAAUGUUGGUGUUAUUUUGAUAGGGAUCGCAUUGAAUAUAUAGAUUGCUUGCGUAGUUAUCGACAUUGUAACAAUAUUUGUUCUUCCAGUCCAUGAGCAUGGAAUGUUUUUCCAUUGUUUUGUGUCUUCUUCAGUUUCUUUCAUAAGCUUUCUAUAGUUUUGAGUGUACAAAUUUUUCACCUCUUUGGUUAGGUUUAUUCCUAUGUAUUUUAUGUUUUUUUGGUGCAGUUCAAGUACAUCUGAAUAUUAACCCAAACAAAACUUAAUAAAAAAAAAUUAAGUUUGCUAGAAGCACACAUAUUGAGUAUAGCUGAGGGAAAAAUAUAAAUAUAAUUCGGAUUCUACUUGAGAAGAAAAUCCUUAUUGGGACCUUAAAUGGAACUUUUGUUUUUAAUGCCAUCUUUAUUAUUUUUUUUUCUUGGUAGCUCUGACAAUUGUCUUUUUGACUGUGCUGGAAACUGGUUUACUUCUGUCACAGAUUGAGACCACUUACCAAAGCUGUGUUUAAUUGUGUUGUACAAAAUCUGAUUUAAUUAUAUGUUUAUUUUCAGUUGGAUGCCAGAUCAAGAUUCCGAGGAAGAAAAGGAUAUUGACGCCAAUAUGCUGAAACCAAAAUGAAAACAAUAAAGGAUUUUCUCUGAUCACUUAAAACAGAGAAGCCAAAAUAGGAGACAGACUUGCUGUAUCUGAUGGGUUAGACCAGUAUUUCCCUCCACAAACACUGGAGAAAAUGGAUGAGUUCUGUUUUUGAAUAUGUAUAAAGUAAAUGAUCCUUCCUCUAAGUUAUUUUUGAAAGAAAAAUAUAAUCGAACAGCUAUGAGCUGAGAGCAACAUAAUGUGUAUUGAGAAUUGUUCUAAACCACAAAAAGUGGAAAGAUUGUUAUUUUCCAACUUGACUCUUCGACCAGAUGACUCGGUACAUCCUUUGUGAAUAUUAUGAAGGCCACUGAUGGGACUGUUAAAAUUGAUAACAUUCAGUGUGGGGAGAAAAUGUCUAUUGGGAAAGCUUUGGAUAAAGAUUUCUUUUACUCAAUCUGUCCUAUUUAGUUCUAAAAAUGUAUUUGAUUCCUUGGAGGAGAAAUGCUUCAUUUGCACUGAUUCACUAGAGUAACAACCUCACAACUUUAAUAUUAAUAUCAUACAGUAGGCGUAGCUGGAUACAAACCUCUGAUUGUUGCCAGGGCUCUUGUCCUCCAUUUCGGGACUGUUUUUCUCGUUUCGGGCUUCAUUUUCAGGCUGGUCCUCUCUCACAUAAUGGGGAAGAGGCCUGGCAGCCAAAAGUGCACAUCCUUAAGUCCAUGAUCCAAAAGAAAGAGCUAACCUUUUCUAGGGUCCACUAAUCAAAUCCUACAAAAGGACUGUUGUCUUCCCUGGAUCACUUGCCCCUGAAUUAGACCAGUCCCUGUGGAGAAAGGGAUGAGGCCACGUGAUUUUGGCCUGGCCUGGGUCUUACACACGGUAAUGGGUCACCCCCAACAGAAGCACAUUGGAUGAGUGAUGGGCCUUAUCCCAAAAGAAAAGGAUUCAGAGAAAACUGAAACAAUAGAUGUUCAUAGAGAAAGCAUGAGCGAAAACCAGGAAAUGCUUGAAAAAGUUUAGAAUCACAGUAAUUCUGAUCACUUAAUACAAUCAAGAGCCAAAUAUAAAUCCAAGUUUCAACUCUCUUUUCAGUGGUGAAGAAUAAAUGAAGAAGCAUAGCUUCUUUAUGUGGCCAUGGUUCUUUGCAGUUCAAGCAAUCAAGGUGUUCUAUAGCUCAACUGGUUUUUUAAAGGUUCGCCUAAAGUGAGAAUUCCACACUGGUCCCCAUUGCAGAGUAUCACUGAGGUCUGCUGUUGUGUUUGUGUGGUACUGCUUUUCACUGGAAAAGGGAAAAAUAUUUUUUUUCCCUGUUUAAGUGCUCCAACUUUUAUUAAAAGAACUUUGAUAAGAAACUCCAGAAUUAUUUUAUAGAACCCUCUUUUUGUAGUAACAGCUUGAAAGCUUCAUUUAGAGAAAUUCACAUUCCAUAGAUUCAUGCUUAAAGCAUACAAUUUUGUUUUUUGGAGUAUAGUCACAAGUUUGUGCAACCAUCAUCGCCAUCUAAUUCCUGAACAUUCUCAAGGGAAACCCCAUACCCAUUAGCAGUUACUCCCCAUCCCUCCUUUCCCCCCAAUUCCCAGCAACCACUAAUAUACUUUCUAUGUCCAUAGAUUUGCAUAUUCUGGGCAUGUCAUAAAAAUGGAGUUACGUGUUGGGGCGCCUGGGUGGCGCAGUCGGUUAAGCAUCCGACUUCAGCAAGGUCACGAUCUCGCGGUC
rnacentral:lncRNA from 1 species